GAGAAAAACUCCAGAAGAAAAAAAAAUACGCAUGACCAGUGAGUGAAAUAUUUUUGCAGGUUGUAACUCGCACGGACACGGCAGCCGUGUGCACGCGCGCGGAAUGGAUUGUUAAGCUUUUUUGUGCGCGCGUGACAAAGUUCAGGUUUAAAUAAGCGCAUGGCAAAUGUGACCGAUUUAACAACAACCACAGAAUUGAGAAUUUAUCCAAAAAAUUAAAAAUAAUAUUAAUAACUGACGAGGAAUGUACGUGCACACGUCAUGUACAUGCUUUCAUUUGAAAUAUGAAUUCACGAUUCCGCGUGAAUUAUCUUCCACGAUUGUCGCCGCGCUGCAGCCCCUGAUUACGAUGCGCACGCGCGCUGCACAACACGAUUCGAAUACAAGUGAAUAAAACAAAAACACGCACGAGUUUUAAAAAGUUUGGAGAAGGGUUUGAACUUUAUUUAUUUAUUAUUUUUUACUGAUAACAUCAAAGUAUCGCAUUAAAACGCGCAGAGGGCGAAUUUUACUUUCUUGUUGAAAUUCAAAACGAGCUGUUCGUUGUGGUUUAAAAUCACACAUUGAGGUGGUUUGUAGUUUUCAUUGGUUUAACUUAAAAGUCACCUCUUAAAAAUGUAAAAUCAUCUCAGUCGGGUCUGAAUACACAAACGCAUCCUGUGCGUAAAAGCGCGUUCAGUUGUGGUUUUGGAAACAGUCGUUCUGUGAAAUAUGUAGUUAAAAAGGGACAAUUGUGAUUUUUUUUUUUUUCUGAUGUUGAUAUGAGGCAACUAAUAAGAAGCUUAUGAGCCGAACGCCAAAAAGAAUUCGGAUAAAAAGAACAAAAUGAAGCUUUAAUCAUCCCGACUUUAGUGCAAACGCAAUAACCGAUUGCAUUAUUAUUAAUGACAAAGUGUCGCGCAGCAAAAAUGCCCUGCAGCUGUGAUACAUUUCGGCUUCGCUUCAAUUUUGCUGCCAACAUUUUUUAAAGUGCCAGGCUCGUGCACGUACGUGCACGCAUUAACCUCGAACUUCUGCAUUUGUUGGCG